CUACGGGGUGCACCAGUGGGGAAUAUUGGACAAUGGGGGCAACCCUGAUCCAGCAAUGCCGCGUGUGUGAAGAAGGCCUGAGGGUUGUAAAGCACUUUUAGUUGUGAGGAAAGGGUGCUGAUGAAUAAUCAGUACAUAUGACGUUAGCAACAGAAAAAGCACCGGCUAACUCUGUGCCAGCAGCCGCGGUAAUACAGAGGGUGCAAGCGUUAAUCGGAUUGACUGGGCGUAAAGGGCGCGUAGGUGGUUAUUUAAGUUAGAUGUGAAAUCCCUGGGCUUAACCUAGGAACUGCAUUUAAUACUGGGUAACUAGAGUAUGGGAGAGGGCAGUGGAAUUUCCGGUGUAGCGGUGAAAUGCGUAGAUAUCGGAAGGAACACCAGUGGCGAAGGCGACUGCCUGGCCUAAUACUGACACUGAGGCGCGAAAGCGUGGGUAGCAAACAGGAUUAGAUACCCCCGUAGUC
rnacentral:rRNA from 1 species